rnacentral:rRNA from 1 species
UACGGGGGGAGCAAGCGUUGUUCGGAUUUACUGGGCGUAAAGGGCGCGUAGGCGGCGUGACAAGUCACUUGUGAAAUCUCCGGGCUUAACUCGGAACGGUCAAGUGAUACUGUCGGACUAGAGUACAGAAGGGGCAACUGGAAUUCUCGGUGUAGCGGUGAAAUUCGUAGAUAUUCGCAAGAACACCAGUGGCGAAGGCGGCUCACUGGCCCGAUACUGACGCUGAGGUGCGAAAGCGUGGGGAGCAAACAGG